rnacentral:rRNA from 1 species
GGUGCCUUCGGGAACUCUGAGACAGGUGCUGCAUGGCUGUCGUCAGCUCGUGUUGUGAAAUGUUGGGUUAAGUCCCGCAACGAGCGCAACCCUUAUCCUUUGUUGCCAGCGGUUNGGCCGGGAACUCAAAGGAGACUGCCAGUGAUAAACUGGAGGAAGGUGGGGAUGACGUCAAGUCAUCAUGGCCCUUACGAGUAGGGCUACACACGUGCUACAAUGGCGCAUACAAAGAGAAGCGACCUCGCGAGAGCAAGCGGACCUCAUAAAGUGCGUCGUAGUCCGGAUUGGAGUCUGCAACUCGACUCCAUGAAGUCGGAAUCGCUAGUAAUCGUAGAUCAGAAUGCUACGGUGAAUACGUUCCCGGGCCUUGUACACAC